rnacentral:tRNA from 1 species
ACUCUUUUAAUAUAUAAGUAUAUUUAACUUCCAAUUAAAAAGACUGUUGAAACAGAAGGAGUA